UCUCAAGUGUGUACACUGAGAGAAAUGAAAUUACAAAUGUUGUAUGAGAUUUGAAAUGUCAAAAAUUUAUAUCUUACAGUUACUGCCAGUCGCCGGCUUCAGUAUGGAUUGGUUGGUGCUAAUUGAAUGGCCGCCACUGUGUAGCGGCGCCUACACUACGCUCCAUAAAAAA